rnacentral:tRNA from 1 species
GCGGACGUGGCGGAAUUGGUAGACGCGCUGGCUUUAGGUGCCAGUACCUCACGGUUUGGGAGUUCGAGUCUCCCCGUCCGCACCA